GGAAUUUGCUAUCGUGAGGGGAACCCGACGAGCGCGUCGUACCGGGACCAUGCAAAGACGGCGCACC
rfam:Streptomyces paucisporeus strain CGMCC 4.2025 genome assembly, contig: Ga0079900_118